UACGUAGGGUGCAAGCGUUAAUCGGAAUUACUGGGCGUAAAGCGUGCGCAGGCGGUUUUGUAAGUCUGUCGUGAAAUCCCCGGGCUCAACCUGGGAACUGCAUUUGUGACUGCACGGCUGGAGUGCGGCAGAGGGGGAUGGAAUUCCGCGUGUAGCAGUGAAAUGCGUAGAUAUGCGGAGGAACACCGAUGGCGAAGGCAAUCCCCUGGGCCUGCACUGACGCUCAUGCACGAAAGCGUGGGGAGCAAACAGG
rnacentral:rRNA from 1 species